AACAAGGAUAGAGGCGCGAUGUUCAAGAGUACACUAUUAGAGGAUAAUGAGGUCCUUAGAAAAUAGUGAAAAGGGGACCUCGCCGAAGUUGUGGAAAACUCAUUGCUUCUACAGCUGGUUCUGCUAUUGAAAAAGUACAGAACUGUCAUAUAGGUGACUAUAUGGAGGGCUAUCUGACGC
rnacentral:ncRNA from 1 species